CACGUAGGGCGCAAGCGUUGUCCGGAAUUAUUGGGCGUAAAGAGCUCGUAGGCGGUCCGUUGCGUCCGCUGUGAAAACUCGGGGCUUAACCCCGAGCCUGCAGUGGAUACGGGCAGACUAGAGGUAGGUAGGGGAGAAUGGAAUUCCCGGUGUAGCGGUGAAAUGCGCAGAUAUCGGGAGGAACACCGGUGGCGAAGGCGGUUCUCUGGGCCUUACCUGACGCUGAGGAGCGAAAGCGUGGGGAGCGAACAGG
rnacentral:rRNA from 1 species